rnacentral:rRNA from 1 species
GACGAACGCUGGCGGCGUGCUUAACACAUGCAAGUGGAGCGACGAACCGGGGCUUGCCCCGGGGCAGAGCCGCAAACGGGUGAGUAACACGUGGGUUACCUACCCCGAUGACCGGGACAACCCGAGGAAACUCGGGCUAAUACCGGAUGUGGUCUUAGGACGAAAGGAAGCUUCGGCCUCCGCAUCGGGAUGGGCCCGCGGCGCAUUAGCUUGUUGGUGGGGUAACGGCCUACCAAGGCGACGAUGCGUAGCUGGUCUGAGAGGACGAUCAGCCACACUGGGACUGAGACACGGCCCAGACUCCUACGGGAGGCAGCAGUGGGGAAUCUUGCGCAAUGCGCGAAAGCGUGACGCAGCAACGCCGCGUGGGGGAAGAAGGCCUUCGGGUUGUAAACCUCUUUCAGUUGGGACGAAGCCUUACGGGUUAAUAGCCCGUGGAGGUGACGGUACCUUCAGAAGAAGCCCCGGCUAACUACGUGCCAGCAGCCGCAGUAAAAC